rnacentral:rRNA from 1 species
AGACGGAGGGCGCAAGCGUUGUUCGGAAUUACUGGGCGUAAAGCGCGGGCAGGCGGUCUGUUAAGUCGUUUGUGAAAAUCCGGGGCUCAACCCCGUGAAAUGCAGACGAUACUGGCAGACUAGAGACCGGUAGAGGCUAGCGGAAUUCCUGGUGUAGCGGUGGAAUGCGUAGAUAUCAGGAAGAACACCUGUGGCGAAGGCGGCUAGCUGGGCCGGAUCUGACGCUCAUCUGCGAAAGCGUGGGGAGCAAACAGGAUUAGAAACCCCGGUAGUCC